GAGGGUACAGCUCAGGUGGUAGAGCGUAUGCUUAACAUGCACGAGGUCCUAGGUUCAAUUCCUAGUAUCUCCU
rnacentral:tRNA from 1 species